GCAGGCUGCAACUCGCCUGCAUGAAGUCGGAAUUGCUAGUAAUCGCGGAUCAGAAUGCUGCGGUGAAUACGUUCCCGGGCCUUGUACACACCGCCCGUCCACACCAUGGGAGCCGGUAAUACCCGAAGUCAGUAGUCUAACCGCAAGGGGGACGCUGCCGAAGGUAGGAUUGGCGACUGGGGUGAAGUCGUAACAAGGUACC
rnacentral:rRNA from 1 species